rnacentral:rRNA from 1 species
UGGUGUUACUGCGAAGGGGGGACGGAGAAGGCUAUGUUGGCCGGGCGACGGUUGUCCCGGUUUAAGCGUGUAGGUGUGUGUUCCAGGUAAAUCCGGUUCACUUUAACACUGAGGCGUGACGACGAGGCACUACGGUGCUGAAGCAACAAAUGCCCUGCUUCCAGGAAAAGCCUCUAAGCAUCAGGUAACAUCAAAUCGUACCCCAAACCGACACAGGUGGUCAGGUAGAGAAUACCAAGGCGCUUGAGAGAACUCGGGUGAAGGAACUAGGCAAAAUGGUGCCGUAACUUCGGGAGAAGGCACGCUGACACGUAGGUGAAGUGAUUUACUCAUGGAGCUGAAGUCAGUCGAAGAUACCAGCUGGCUGCAACUGUUUAUUAAAAACACAGCACUGUGCAAACACGAAAGUGGACGUAUACGGUGUGACGCCUGCCCGGUGCCGGAAGGUUAAUUGAUGGGGUCAGCGCAAGCGAAGCUCCUGAUCGAAGCCCCGGUAAACGGCGGCCGUAACUAUAACGGUCCUAAGGUAGCGAAAUUCCUUGUCGGGUAAGUUCCGACCUGCACGAAUGGCGUAAUGAUGGCCAGGCUGUCUCCACCCGAGACUCAGUGAAAUUGAACUCGCUGUGAAGAUGCAGUGUACCCGCGGCAAGACGGAAAGACCCCGUGAACCUUUACUAUAGCUUGACACUGAACAUUGAGCCUUGAUGUGUAGGAUAGGUGGGAGGCUUUGAAGUGUGGACGCCAGUCUGCAUGGAGCCGACCUUGAAAUACCACCCUUUAAUGUUUGAUGUUCUAACGUGGACCCGUAAUCCGGGUUGCGGACAGUGUCUGGUGGGUAGUUUGACUGGGGCGGUCUCCUCCUAAAGAGUAACGGAGGAGCACGAAGGUUGGCUAAUCCUGGUCGGACAUCAGGAGGUUAGUGCAAUGGCAUAAGCCAGCUUGACUGCGAGCGUGACGGCGCGAGCAGGUGCGAAAGCAGGUCAUAGUGAUCCGGUGGUUCUGAAUGGAAGGGCCAUCGCUCAACGGAUAAAAGGUACUCCGGGGAUAACAGGCUGAUACCGCCCAAGAGUUCAUAUCGACGGCGGUGUUUGGCACCUCGAUGUCGGCUCAUCACAUCCUGGGGCUGAAGUAGGUCCCAAGGGUAUGGCUGUUCGCCAUUUAAAGUGGUACGCGAGCUGGGUUUAGAACGUCGUGAGACAGUUCGGUCCCUAUCUGCCGUGGGCGCUGGAGAACUGAGGGGGGCUGCUCCUAGUACGAGAGGACCGGAGUGGACGCAUCACUGGUGUUCGGGUUGUCAUGCCAAUGGCACUGCCCGGUAGCUAAAUGCGGAAGAGAUAAGUGCUGAAAGCAUCUAAGCACGAAACUUGCCCCGAGAUGAGUUCUCCCUGAGACUUAGAGUCUCCUGAAGGAACGUUGAAGACGACGACGUUGAUAGGCCGGGUGUGUAAGCGCAGCGAUGCGUUGAGCUAACCGGUACUAAUGAACCGUGAGGCUUAACCUU